AAAAAUGAAAAAACCUUAUUUUUUAUCUUUAUAUUUCGAAAAUCCAAAAAAAGUUUUAUGUUCAGUUUAAUUAAUUAGGAAUAAUUUUUAUGUGGCGUAGUAUUUCUAUCCUAUUUUUAAAAGUCAUUUUCUUUGUUAGAGACCCUUUUAGACUCUUAUUUAGGAAAAAAAAUAAAUAAAAAGACCCUAGGAGCUUAACUCAAAAUGACCUAAAUGACUUAGGGACUAACUGGCAAAUACACAAAAAUAAAAACUUAGACCUAAUACCUAUAAAUACCCCAUAUACUCUUCAGCCGCAGGGGAGGGGAACAUUUGAAAGGUUCAUAUUUUACACCUUAGGUAUUGUUCAUCAUCGUCUUGAACACCAAAACAAGACCAAAAACCCUAGAACCCAUGGCUACUUCUUCUUCUUCUUGAACGAACCAGCAGCCCAACCACGCCUCUCAUCGCACAACCAUCACCCUCAACCACGCCAGUCGCCAACCCUCGUCACAGGUGCGUGUAUUGCUCCAAUUCCCCUGGGCAUGACAUAGAGAAGUGUUGGAAUCUGAAGAAUGCGAUUCAAAAGCUUAUUGAUGCAGGUGACCUUGUCGCGCCAAAUGAAGAUGCAGCAGGCACCAACCAAUGUCCAUCGCUUGUGAAUAAUAAGACGCACAUGAUGGGUGUGAUUUAUUUUGAAAAGGAAUAUGAGAAUUUUUCUGAGAGCCUCGGAGUUCCACAUGCUGCUAAGCUUUUAGCGGUAUUAGAGGUUGAUCCUGAAAACGGGUUGGCAAAAGGAACCCAAAAAAAAUUUGUUAAGAACAAUGUGAUGAAGACUUGUGAAGUUCCUAGUAUUGUUGAUGUCGAAUUUAGUGGCUAAGAUGUUGAGUUUGAGGAUUGGAAAGACGCUCUUUUCUUGGUUAGCCAGGGAGGAGUUUUGGUGGUUCACGUUGUUGUCAUUUCUCUUAUCCGAGUUAUUUCAGGGUUGUAAUCUGGAUAUUGGCUUGUGAUUCAAACCUUUCUAUCCUUUUAUUAUGUCUAAUUACUUUAUUCAUAGUAUCUCAUGGGACCAAAUUGGCACAUUUUAAAAUAAUUGUUCCAUUUGGGACCAAAGAUGAUCCCAAGUUCCUGAAGAUAUACUGUUUUUAUUUUUGAGUGAGAGACUCGACGUCGAAUCCCCGCAGCACCAAAUAGAUAUCUAAAACGGAGCAAGCUGAGAAAACUAGCGAUAUGAUUACCAGAUAAUCCGACUCGAGUUCGAGUCUCAGGCACCACGAGCCUCUUUGAAUAUGAAUCACUUAGUUCCAUAGAGAAAUACAGACCUUAAUUAACUACCUUAUUCACAGCAAAUAAGAACCCACCAAUUAAUCAAUAAAUUCGAAUUGAAAUACGCAUGCUAAAAUAUUAUCAGAAUUCCAACAACUGGACCUGAAUCAACCUAUCACUUAAUGUAACUUUCUAAUCACAGAACCAUAGAUUAAAACACAAAGCAGGCCUGCAUUCCUUUUAUUAACAUGUCUAAACAUGGAAUAACCAAAACCAAAAUGUACUGAACUUCAUGCAUUGAAUUCAAACACUGCAUACAAUAACAUACCAAAGAAGUAAUACGCAAUACAUGUACUAGAAAAAAACCCUGUAUUUAGCUAAUAGAAAUUACUAUAUUAGCCUUCGCUACAACUAAAAGAACUAGCUAAUCCAAAUAUAUCUCAUGAGUUCAAAAACAGUAUCUAGUUAAUUACAUAACAUGAUGAUCUAUAUAUCAACAAGGCUAAUGUACUAUAUCGAUUCGAAUGAACUCAACCCCCAUCAGCCAAAGCGUAGACAACAGAAUAUUUUGGAUUCAAAAAAUGAGAUAACACAGCCCGAAAAAAAACUUCAAACCAAUAGCUAACCCAACAAAUUUUGAGGAAUCAAAACCACUAAAAAUCAGUCCCAAUCAAUGGAACAGUAAACUUCAACAAAUCUCAGACCAAAACCCUUUCAAACUCAAGAUCAAACCAUCUCAAAUUCCCAAAAUGAACCAGAUUGUUUUAGAGUGAAGAACCUAAAAACUAGAAACAAAAUUCAAUAGAACAGUGAUUUCUUUUAAAGUUUUUCCUAGCCGCCUCUGACUUUCUGUGUUUUAGCUCUUAAAAUUCUCUCUUGAAAGGCAAGGAAAAGUGCCUUUAUAGGCAAGCCAAUAGGGAAAUCUUCAGAUUUUAGUUUUUACACUUUACCCCUUUUCGAAUUUUCAUUUUUGCUUAGCUAACCUCUAAUUAUUGACUUGCUACCCAAGUUUUAAUAACUAUACAUCUGAAAUUUCACUAACGCCCCUUACUAGAAGUUUCCAAAUUAGUUACUAAGAGAUUCCCUAUGUCCUAUUUCCAAAACGACCCCUUUAUGACCCUGUUAUUACCCCCUAAACUCAAUGGGUCCAACUGACCCAAGAAUUAAGCCAGCCUUGGGCUUAACAAGAACAACUCGGAUUCUUGCCCAUUUGGGCUUUCUAAUUUCCAGAAACCAAAUUCAGGCCAUAAACCAUAAUCAACAAUCCUAAUAGGUUGAACAAGAAAUCUCAGUAGAAAACCAGCUAUUCUUUAGCAAGAAACCAAAAUAAAAAAAAUAGGCGAGAAUUAAUCCCAUGAGACAAUUCAAACAAACUAAACAUUUAACAAAUUAAAGCAUGCAAACAGAUACAAAUAAAAUAAAAGAACAAAUAUGUGACAAAGAGGAGAAGAGGAGAUGGAGAAGAGAUUAAGACCUGAAUUUAAACUAAGACGAAGAACAAAGAGAAUGAUAACUGAGAACACCUAACGUGGAUGGCCAACCUUGAAGUCACUCUUCGACCUUUCGAUUAUGACCAAAAGGAGUCUUAAUCAUGUGUUCACAAGGGAAAACACAUGAACAAGAUCUAUCUUGGCCUCAAUCUUUAAUAACUCCGUCGAUUUUGGAAUCUGGAAAUAUUAGGUUUCAAGUUUAAGAUUUGAUGACUUCAAGCAAUAUUUGAGGGCAAUGGGUUAGCUAGAGGGUGCCGUGGUUGGUCUAGGGUAUCAAUCUGGGGUCGAUUGGGGAAAUUUGGGUUAGACCUCCCCUCUUCAAUUCACAAUUCGAGCAGUUUGGUUGGGAUUUGAGGGAAAAAGGGGUGUGGAUUUGGAAAUAGGAGGAAGAGAAGAAGCUAGGGUGUAAUUUUGGUGGAGAUUAGAGCAACGCCACCGGCGGAGAUGAUUUUUGGAAGGAGGUGUGCGGCGGAGAUGGUGGGGGUUCUCUGAGGAGUGGGGUGAAAGAGACAGGAUUGGGGCGGUAGGGUGUUGUUCGGACACUUAUAUAUUGAGAUGACACCACU
rnacentral:lncRNA from 1 species